rnacentral:rRNA from 1 species
ACAGAGGGUGCGAGCGUUAAUCGGAAUUACUGGGCGUAAAGCGCGCGUAGGCGGGUUUUUAAGUCGGAGGUGAAAGCCCCGAGCUUAACUUGGGAAUUGCAUUCGAUACUGGGAAGCUAGAGUAUGGGAGAGGAUGGUAGAAUUCCAGGUGUAGCGGUGAAAUGCGUAGAGAUCUGGAGGAAUACCGAUGGCGUAGGCAGCCAUCUGGCCUAAUACUGACGCUGAGGUACGAAAGCGUGGGGAGCAAACAG